AAGUAAAUAAACUACAACUUCAUCAGUUAAUUCAUCCCAAUAUAUAAUGCAGUGUAAAAAAUAAGUGGUCCUUUGACUUUGGCUUUGGUUCGACUUGAGUGAACGACUAGUUUAUCUAUCAAACAUGGGAAAGGUAAGUUAUGAAACUUUUAUUUAUACAACAAUUUUUCUUUUGUACUUUAUUUGUGUUUGAUCUUCGAUUCAAGAAUCACAAAGUAAUAUCUAAUUAUUAAAUUCGAAAUUAAUUAACUUAACCUUAAAUUUAAUUUAUAUAAACAAACAAAAAGUUUUAAAUGACAUUCUUUAAAUAUUGUACCAACAUAAACAACUAUUUUGUCAAAGUCCCCUCAGUAAUGUUUUGAUGUAUCAUAAAUUCUUAUCUUAUUCACAAAGAAUGUUAUUUUAAAUUGUAUUCAUUGUGAUAAAACAUAAAUUGCGGCUUUAUAAUAAGUACAAUAUAAUUUGUUUCCUUAUUCAUUAUGCUUUCCGGUAAUCUAGAUUAAAUGUUAAAUUAUAUUUAUGUAUAUGUUGGUAACUUGAACUAGUUCCUUUUUUCAAAAGGAAAUGCCUACUUUUACACAUUAUUGUCGUCGGAGCUUGGUCGCAGCGGUACAACGUGUUAACGUCUCUUUCGUGGACAUUAUUUAAUAAAAAAUUGAUGAUUAUGCAUUAACAAAUUUAAGUGCCGUUUUUACAACUUGUUGUUUAAUAGACAGGGUAUUGUGUGAUGCAUUUUUUCAGUCAAAUAAAGGCGAUGUCUCCAGAUAUAAGAUCCCAUGGCUCAGCAGCACAAGGUGCCGAUACCAGUGUGAAAUAACUACUCAAAGGGGAAAGCAUCAUCAUGUGACCGGUGCGCAGACAAUAUGAGUGUACAAAUGGUUUCUUUCCGUGCGCUGUGCAGUCUUCUUCAGAGAAGGUAAGUGAUUAAUAAAUCCAAAAUACGUAUUAGUUUUAGUUAUUACACAAUUAUUUGAAAAUGUCAACUCUUUGCAAUAAAAUACCGAAAGAGUUUUAAACACUUUGCGGAAAUAACAAAGACACCUCAUAUUUACACAUAUAUAUUAAAGAUUUAUCGCUUUAGGUGUUAGUUAUUAAUAUUUAAUUACAUACAAAUUACACAAUUUAAUACACGACAAAGAUUAACCAAUAGCGUUCGACUUGACUUAAUGAUUUGAACAAUUUCUUAUGGGAGUGUUGUAUGAUUUAUACAUAGUUCGUCAGAUUGUCUGUAUCUGGGAUUGUAAUUAACGGCGUUAAUAGACAACGUAAAUUAUCCAUGACUAGCUUCGUAUUAUUCAAAAAUUUCUACUGACCCCGAUGGAUAGUUCAUAAGUUCCAAGAAAUAACGACAACAGCGCAUUGAACUAACUUCUAAUACAUGCAUACAAUAAGAACAACGAGAUGAGGUACCUAACUAUAAGGCAUUGUAGGUUACAUUGUUUUAUUCAUAUGAUAUGUAGGUACUUUCAAUUAAUUAAGUAUGCUGAACGUAAGUCGUUACUAACUUUGUAUGUCAUAUAACAUACGUACCAGCAUUUGUGUAAUAUGAGUCGGUAAGUAUACGAAAGAUACAAUAGGUGUCGUAUGUCGCUAAAAAAAUGGUUUGUAUACAGGUAAGGCAAAACGGUCGCCGCACAUAGAAAUUACAUUUUCUCUUACGAUGAAUGUAUCACCGCCCCCAAACUCUUCUUUCAUCAUCAGAAGGUUGUCAGUCCUAAGACGGGUUGGGCACUUACGUCCACUCUUUCCUAUCCUAUGUUAA